CACUGCAUGGUAACACUGUCCCCCUCAAAGUCCAGCUGAGCUGGCUGAUCUCCCAACUCUAUCUGCCAGGGAUAUCUAUUGAUUUCAUAUGGUCUUCUGAUCUCCAUUUGAGGAAGAGAAAAACACCCUAAUCUGGACAGUGCCAGCCAGAUUCUUACUGGCAUGUGAGGAUCAAAGGUUCAAGAAAAAGAUAAGGAACCUUCCCUGUAAGCAUUCCCCUUCAAUCUCCUCACUUAUAAACUAAUUAAUUUGAGCACUUGUGCUGAUCUCAACUGCUGUAUCAUACACUUGACCAUCUUGAGGCCAACUUCCUCAUUUGUGAAAACCAAACACUAAGAGCUGAAAUGUCUUCUGCACACUGCGCCUCUUGAGAUCCCGCCCUUGCUUCACCAAGAGGACAAGAAGCAAGGAGUACUUUUCCCCAAGCUUGAUGAAUCUGCUUCUUGGGAUAAACAACAGCCAUACUUCAAUCAUUGUAUUAUGGUUGAGAUUGAGUCCAGAUAUACAGUGUUGUUUUUGUGAUUACAAUAUUCUACUUGACCCACAAAGUAGCUCUUUUUCAGGUAAGAACAUUGGGUGAUUGGAGACAACUAUGUAUGAAAUGCGAAAUUUCACAACUUCCAUUUCUGGUGCCUUUGUAAAGGUUCAUAUUUGUCUCUUAUCAUUUAAAAUAAAGGGAAGCCUCUUAUCAUUUGUGUACUGAACAACAUCAAGACAUAGGCAUGUAGAAUAUAGAUAAUUUUUUAAAUUAAAUGUCUGAACUUCAAAACUACUUACAGGUCUUGGCACUUGCUUUUGGAAAUAUCUGCAGUACAAGAAUGCUACCAGUAGCAUUCCAAAACCAAACAUGAUUAUCCUUUAUCAAACUUCCUUUCAUCAAAUGUACCAGAUUCUCCAGGUCUACUUUAUGUGCUGCAAAAUAUGUGUGGCAAAACUCGUAUAUAGUUUGCAAAUUAGCUAGGAUCCAUUUGGGGUAAUGUAUUUGACACAAUGGAGGGAAGUACGACUAGAUGUGGAGAGACUUGGGAAAAAACAGAAUAAAAAAGGCAAGAUGGAUGUAGAUGAGGGACAGAAGAGAGUAGUGAAGGCUGUAUAAAAAGAUGGGGGAAAGGAGAGAGAGGUUGGUCAGAUGAUAAACUAGCUGAUUUCAGAAUAUGAGGCCAACCAAUCAGGAAAGGCCAGAAAAAACAGGAAAAUCUGACUGCUGUGAUAAGUAACAUAAUUCAUAUUUUCAGUCUUAAGGAGCAUUCCCUGGGAGAUUGAACCUAAUGUGUAUUGUCCAAUGGAAAAGUGGCCACCUUGACUAGAUGGAGUUGUCAAGACUGCAUCAUUUUGUACAAAUUGGAAUUCUGAUUCCAUAAAUUAUUCUAUUCAAGAGUUAGGAUUGCAGAAAGAUUUGAGUUCUGAUCUUUUCUAAUAAAACUGAAGUGAUUCACCAGCACUUUUAUCUAAUAGCACUAUUGCAGCUGUUACACUAGCACUGGACUGCACACUUAUUGGUAUAAAUGACAUGCUGUGUUCUUCAGAGCAAGUGCCACAGUGUGACUACUUGUGUAGCAUUGCAAACAAUUUUGCCUGUGGGUAGCUAGUGAAUUGCAGGCAUGCUAGGGAGUUACAAUCAUAUCUGCGGUGGCAAAAUACUCUAGGGUAGAUGAGUCCAGUGACUUCUCUAGAGUCACACAGGAAGUCUAUGGCAGAUUUGGGAACAGAAUCCCACUUUUCUGGUGACCACUUUUGUAGCUACAAAACCUUCCGCUACUAAUUACAUUGCUUUUUCCUCAGUACACAAUGUACAGUCAGCUUCUUGAAACUAUUUCUGGUCUCUCUCCUACUCACUAAAACAUUUGGGGAAUGGAUCAUGACUAUGUUUAGUGGACUGAUUGAAGCAGUUUGCAAAACAGAAAGUACAUCUUUUUCCAAUUAGAAAAAAUGAAGUUGUGAACAAACAACUGAACAUUUUGAACACAGCCAUUUUUAUAUUAAGGAACAUUGAGUAAAAUGAUGCCAUCACACCAUGUACAGCAUCUUUAAAAUGCUUGUAAAUAAAUACAUCUAUACCCAAAAUAGAUCCUUUAAGAUGCACCACUUCUGUGGUAGUACUUACUUACAGUAUAUUUUGGCAUGUAGGGAUAUUAACUUUACAAGUGAAAGAGCAAAUGUUUAAAAGCCAGCUACUUUUAAUAAAAGUCCAGUCAAAGAAGAAAUUGAAAUUAUAUGCCCACAUCAUCUCCUCCCUGUAAAUAUAUUCAAGAAACAAAGAAUCAAUUACCAUGUUAUGUUUUAGUAGUUGGGUGCUUUCAAUGUUUCUUUGUGUACAAAAUUCUUUUAGGCCCACACAUACCUAUUCAGAAAAUAUAUUGCUAGAAGUCAAUCUAGAAAUAAUUGCUGAAGAACAAAAAUAUUAUCUGUCCAUCAAUCUAUCAUACAUAAUCAUAUUGUUGUUUAAAACCUAUCUUUCCCCUCCCUGAGCUGUAUCCAAAA